rnacentral:tRNA from 1 species
GGCCAGUUAGCUCAGUGGUUUGAGCGUGGUGCUGACAACAAUGACAACACCAAGGUCGCGGGUUCAAUUCCCGCUCGGUCCC